AGAACGAACGCUGGCGGCAUGCCUAACACAUGCAAGUCGAACGCUCUUGGGGCUUCGGUCUCAGGGGAGUGGCGCACGGGUGAGUAGCGCGUGGGAACCUGCCCUGUUGUGGGGGAUAACCGAGGGAAACUUCGGCUAAUACCGCAUAAGCCGGUUGUCUUGAAGGAGAUGGCCGGGAAAGAUUUAUCGCGACAGGAGGGGCCCGCGUCGGAUUAGCUAGUUGGUGGGGUAACGGCCCACCAAGGCGGUGAUCCGUAGCUGGUCUGAGAGGAUGAUCAGCCACACUGGGACUGAGACACGGCCCAGACUCCUACGGGAGGCAGCAGUGGGGAAUAUUGGACAAUGGGCGCAAGCCUGAUCCAGCAAUGCCGCGUGAGUGAUGAAGGCCUUAGGGUUGUAAAGCUCUUUCGCCCGCGACGAUGAUGACGGUAGCGGGAGAAGAAGCCCCGGCUAACUUCGUGCCAGCAGCCGC
rnacentral:rRNA from 1 species